AGUGAACGCUGGCGGUAGGCCUAACACAUGCAAGUCGAACGGCAGCACAGUAAGAGCUUGCUCUUACGGGUGGCGAGUGGCGGACGGGUGAGGAAUACAUCGGAAUCUACUUUUUCGUGGGGGAUAACGUAGGUAAACUUACGAUAAUACCGCAUACGACCUACGGGUGAAAGCAGGGGAUCUUCGGACCUUGCGCGAUUGAAUGAGCCGAUGUCGGAUUAGCUAGUUGGCGGGGUAAAGGCCCACCAAGGCGACGAUCCGUAGCUGGUCUGAGAGGAUGAUCAGCCACACUGGAACUGAGACACGGUCCAGACUCCUACGGGAGGCAGCAGUGGGGAAUAUUGGACAAUGGGCGCAAGCCUGAUCCAGCCAUACCGCGUGGGUGAAGAAGGCCUUCGGGUUGUAAAGCCCUUUUGUUGGGAAAGAAAAGCAGCAGGUUAAUACCCCGCUGUUCUGACGGUACCCAAAGAAUAAGCACCGGCUAACUUCGUG
rnacentral:rRNA from 1 species